rnacentral:rRNA from 1 species
AUACGGAGGAUCCGAGCGUUAUCCGGAUUUAUUGGGUUUAAAGGGUGCGCAGGCGGCCAUUUAAGUCAGCGGUUAAAUCGUGGGGCUCAACCCCAUUCUGCCGUUGAUACUGGGUGGCUUGAUUGCGGUCGAGGUUGGCGGAAUUCGUUGUGUAGGGGUGAAAUGCAUAGAUAUGACGAAGAACACCGAUUGCGUAGGCAGCUGACCAGACCGCAAAUGACGCUCAUGCACGAAAGUGCGGGGAUCGAACAGGAUUAGAUACCCUGGUAGUCCACGCAGUAAACGAUGAUGACUAACCGUCGGCGAUAGACCGCCGGUGGCCAAGCGAAAGCGAUAAGUCAUCCACCUGGGGAGUACGACCGCAAGGUUGAAACUCAAAGGAAUUGGCGGGG